AGAGUUUGAUCAUGGCUCAGAUUGAACGCUGGCGGCAGGCCUAACACAUGCAAGUCGAACGGUAACAGAACUAGCUUGCUAGUUGCUGACGAGUGGCGGACGGGUGAGUAAUACUUAGGGAUCUGCCUCUGUGUGGGGGAUAACUAUUGGAAACGAUAGCUAAUACCGCAUAACGUCUACGGACCAAAGAGGGCUUCGGCUCUCGCGCAGAGAGGAACCUAAGCGAGAUUAGCUAGUUGGUGAGGUAAAGGCUCACCAAGGCGACGAUCUCUAGCUGUUCUGAGAGGAAGAUCAGCCACACUGGAACUGAGACACGGUCCAGACUCCUACGGGAGGCAGCAGUGGGGAAUAUUGCACAAUGGGGGAAACCCUGAUGCAGCCAUGCCGCGUGUGUGAAGAAGGCCUUCGGGUUGUAAAGCACUUUCAGUUGUGAGGAAAGUUUAGUAGUUAAUACCUGCUAGAUGUGACGUUAACAACAGAAGAAGCACCGGCUAACUCCGUGCCAGCAGCCGCGGUAAUACGGAGGGUGCGAGCGUUAAUCGGAAUUACUGGGCGUAAAGCGCACGCAGGCGGUCUGUUAAGCUAGAUGUGAAAGCCCCGCGCUCAACGUGGGAGGGUCAUUUAGAACUGGCAGGCUAGAGUCUUGGAGAGGGGAGUGGAAUUCCAGGUGUAGCGGUGAAAUGCGUAGAGAUCUGGAGGAACAUCAAUGGCGAAGGCAACUCCCUGGCCAAAGACUGACGCUCAUGUGCGAAAGUGUGGGUAGCGAACAGGAUUAGAUACCCUGGUAGUCCACACCGUAAACGCUGUCUACUAGCUGUUUGUGGAUUUAAUCCGUGAGUAGCGAAGCUAACGCGAUAAGUAGACCGCCUGGGGAGUACGGCCGC
rnacentral:rRNA from 1 species